rnacentral:rRNA from 1 species
GGGAGCGACCAUACCAGCACUAACGCAGUGGAUCCCAUCCGAACUCCGAAGUUAGGCGUAAAUUGGGCGAGAGUAGUACUAGGAUGGGUGACACCCUGGGAAGUCCUCGUGUUGCCCCAC